rnacentral:pre_miRNA from 1 species
AGUGCAAUUACUGGGUCCUAUGGUACUUGCAUGUUUAAUUCUUAAAGAAAUGUCCAGAUUGUUUUCAAGAGUAACUGUACCAUUUACAUUCCCACCAGCAAU